UGGAAUCAUUAUUUUAUAGCAAACACUAAAAUGGUUCAAUGUGAAUGCACUAAACCCUUUAUUUUCUAACCACAUUUUUAUCCAAGAGAAAACUAAACUUUAGAAAAAUAUUUAAAUCUGUUUUUCUUGUCUUUCUUUUUAUGUGUGUCUUUCUUUUGUUUUCGUGUUUUAAGAUACAAGAUUAAGCACAGUACAAAAUGAAAAAGGAGACGUUACAACUGAAACCACAGAAAGACGAAACAUCUUUGGAGGCUAGUAUGAAUAUCUCUACGCUCACAAACUAGAAAACCUGCAAGAAAUGGAUAAAUUUCUAGAAGUAUAGAACCUCCCAGGAUGAACCAGGAAGAAAUAGAAAUCCUGAACAGAUCAAUAAUGAGUAGUGAAAUUGAAUCAGUUAAUUAAAAACUUCCCAGCCAAAAACAAUAAAAACAGCCCAGUACCAGAUGGAUUCACAAUCAAAUUCUACCAGUAGUACAAGGAACUAAUACCAAUUCUUUGAACUGUUCAAAAACAUUGAGGAGGGAAUCCUCCCUAACUCAUUCCAUGAAGCCAUUUUCUCAAACAUAUAAUGUGUAUCUAUUAUAUACUUUUGUGUUAUGGCAAUAAAAAUUAAAAUGGUUAUGAUAAGAACAUUUAGUACACCUUUCUCAAACACUACCAUAUUUCAUAAUUGAAUUUUCUGUUGCUCUCAUCAUCCGGAGAUGAAUCAAAUGUAGAUGGAACAAAAGCUGAAUUGGUUUUAAGAGGUAAGGAACGCUCAUGGUUAAUUAGACCAUUGGUAAAAGUGCUUUUUUGUCCAGUGCCUUGGCAAUAAAAGAACCAAAACCAAAAAAAAUCUUUGACAGGCACUAGGUCUUCUUUACUUCAGGUUAUUAAAAUAUACCAUUGUUUAGAAAAUGCCUGAAUUAAACCGUUCACCUGGUUGGUCUUUUCUUAUACAGUUUUUCAAAAAUUUUCAAGUAAUUUUGUAGAAAAGUUUUGGGUUGUGAGUAUAGAGAUUUUACUGGGAUGGGGG
rnacentral:lncRNA from 10 species